UGUCUAAAUCUUUGUGUUCCUUGCACCACUGAGUUCCAGAGCAAUCGAUCCCUACCUACAAACCUUACUGCUAAGGGUAUCCCUGAGCAGGCUUGGCGGUAAACACCGACAAUGCCAAAUAUACCCAAGUAUUUUAGUUUCUUCCUAACCCAUUACUUUCCAGGAUUGCAGGAGUGGAGUUGAUGAGUUGAGGUAGGGAGAACGCAGACUCAACUAGGAAGCCCGAUGGAAUCACACCCUAAGAAGGAGUCACACAAAGAGAAGAGGUUGCUUCGCUUCCUAAGAAAAUGUGGGUUUUACGAGAAAAGGUGUGAGCAUUAGAAGGAUUUCUUUUUGUUUUAUAUUUCUGCAGUGCUAGCUUUGUGUGGAUCCUGAACUAUAAUACUAGCUCUUUUAUAUGCUAUGCCUACUAUUUUUGUCUUCAACAAUUCAAGCACCAUUGUUUCACCUACUUUGACAUUUUUUUGCCUGCGAUGAGGUCUGUUAAAGUCACAUUCAGGAUUUGCUUUUGAGGUUGCCCCUUUGUGUUUACUGAUUUGUGGUUUGAUUGCGAGGUAUGUGGCUAAUUCCCUUUUCUACUCUUGUGGUUGCACUUGUUUUUUCAAGGUGAAUGUGUCAUACCUAAUAUGUUACUUUAUGGAAUUGCAACACCAGAGUUAACAAUUUGAUAAAGGGAGAACUCAGGUGAAUAACUCCUUUUCUGCAAAGAUUUGACUUAGCAUUUUUCACUACGGGGUUUUUGUUAUGUGGGCUUUCUAUUAUGCGGUUUCUCAUUUUCAGAUAUACUUUUACCCUUGCAUAUCUUAUCAAUUUGUAUUUGAUUCCUUCCUUGAACUUUUCGGAUUGUGUGUUUUUAAUAGAUUAGUUGCUUACUUCGUGACCUACCAUGAUAAUUAUGUCUCCCUUCCAUUUCAUUAUCUAUUAUCUGUAAUACAUGAUUAUUCAUACAUCAUAAAAUAAUUUUAUGGUCUCUUUCAAUAGUAUAAUGAAAUGAUUUUUUUGUGAGUAACCUUUGAAAAUUGAUUUGCAUUCCAAUCUGACAUAUAUUUGUUAUUCAAUGGAAUAUGAAAUAAUGUUAUCUUUAUUUUGUCGGCAUCUUCUUUGUUCUUGUCGACAAGUAACUUCAUUGUUUGUUGAUGUGCAUCUUCUAUCUUGCUCCUGCAUGUCAGAAACAAUAAUAAAUAUCAUAAUCUGCUUGAACUUUGCAAAUUGAAGAAUAACCAGUUUCACAAAUUUUGUUUCACAUUCCUAGUGUGUGUGUGUGUGUGUACAACUAAACAUGUUAGGUUAGCAUCUUACCAAACAAUUUGUGCUACUGAAUUAAUGAUGUUUUCUUGUUCAUUGCAGAUUGUAGAUAUUGCUAGAGACAUUGCAUUACUUGUAUUUGUGUGUUCCCCAUUUUCUUAACAUUGUUGUCACAUUAUAUUGCAUUCCCUGUACAAUAGUUCUAGCUGGGAGGCAUUGCACUAAUGUAUGUUGGACCUUUUUUCUUUUUUUAGUGAUGUCUAUUGGGCCUACGUGCACUACAACAUAGGAGACUUGUCUGCAAUAUGCAGUCAUGUCAUGUCUAUUAGGCUUUUUAAUUAUAUCUUUUUACAUUGUUUUU